ACAAAAACCUUCAGUAAAACUAUGCACCCUAAGAGAAGAUAGAAAGAAAGGCAGGAGGAGCCAUUCUGUGCUAACAAGAAAAUGAUGUUUGGAGGUAGAGGAGCAGAUCUGGAGUCUUUGCAUUCAGAACGCUUCUGACAAGACUUGACCAGAUGCUACAGCUGACGAGCAUGUGAAAAAGGCUGAAAUAACUUGAGGUCUGGAGUGAACAGUUACAUUCCUGGAUUGUUGAAAGUUCCAUUCUUUACAUGGGACCAACCAUCUUUGGUGAGCUUGAUAACACGAGGCAACUUUGAAGGUGACUUGGACUUCGAUCACUGAAAUAGAAAUGUUGAAAAGGAACUUCUGGAGAAAGGACUCUGGCCACUGGACGUGAAUGCAAGCAUGCUGCAACUGUUUUACUGCUGACAGCGAGGUGAAGCCCCCUGACCCCCGCUCCCGGGAGAGAGCUCAGAAGUCAGGGGCCCCAGCGGAGCACAUGCCUGACUUGUCCGGUGCCAUGGCGCUUGCUGCUGGUGACAGCCUGGUUGGCCGUCACUCAUCUAGAAGAGUGAAUGAACAUCGUAUUAAGCACUCCUUGCUGUUGGUUGAAGUAGAUCUCAGAGUUCUCACUAAUCAGGCUCUCCCUCGAGACCUUCCUUCAACUCUAAUAUCUAACAAUGAAGUCUAAGGUGGGGGAAUCCCACUGAAAUCCUAAACCAUAGGAAACAAGGUCAGCUGCAGGAAUUCAAGUACUCCGGAUGGCAUGUAUUCUUAGCUUUUCGGCAUUGAGGUAGGUAAAUCCCCAACUCUAAGAUUCUCGGUAUUGCCAGAAAUUUAAUUAAAACAUUAUCCGGAGCUGUUAAGUCAAAUCUCAAAUUACCAAGGAAUACCUGGUGGUUAAAAUUAAUUAGCAAUUCUAGCCAAACUGUUGUUCAACUUCCUUCUGCUUGUGCGCCCUGCACAGGAGGAUACGCUGUGAUGCAGGGUGAGGCUGCUCUCCGACACGCUCCCCCCCUCUGUAGACGAUCGAAAUCGGACUGAAAAGGUUUAGGCUACCCCAGUGACUAGUGGAGGGGCCGAGAGCACACCUGAAUCCAGCUGCUCUGUGUUUAGCUCAGACCUUCACUGCAAAUGCCACGCUUGCUUGCCUGCUAAGGACUUCAGUGAGGCCCGUCAUUCGGGGCUCUCCAGCCAGUCAGGGUCUGAAGGUCUAGUAGUGUUUGCAGAGUCCUACCUUUGUGUGUAGUGAAGAUCAGAAGCAUGUCUCAGUGUCCUGGCUUCUGCAUUUUUCAAGAAAAUCAUCUUCAACUACAGCAUUUUGUUUAUACAUGAACUCAGCAUGUGAGUGUGAGUGUGUGUGUGUGCGCGUGCGUGUGCACGUGUGUGCGCCCACAGGAAGGCGGGUCUGGGGGAGGCUGUGGGCUCACUGUGCGUCUGUCAGCAGCAUCUGUCACUCUGGGUCUGAGACAUCCCUUCGUGCUUCCCUCGCUUUCCUUGCUGCUGGCAUCUCACAUACCAAUGUCAUUAGGCACUGUCUGCCCCGGUCCUCCUACAAUCAAUCCAGCCCGUGCAGUUCCCGUCACAGCAAGUGCUUCCUCUGUCAGAGCAGACAAACUGACUGAAGCCACAGCCGGAAGCAGGCUGACCACAAGUGCUAAAGUUCUGGUUAGUUCUUUUCUAGGUAAAGUUGGAAAAGUCCCUGCAAAGGCAAACAUUGAAGUUUUAGACACGGGGGCGGUACUGACCUCUUGAGAUGUCCUUGACUGGAAAGAGGGAGGGUGUGAGUGAGUGAGAGACAGAGAGGCAGAGACAGAGAGGAGGAGGAGAGGAAGUUGGAUUGUAUGAUGCAAAUGCUAAUCAUUCUGAGAAGAGGUUGUUGUUUUUUUUUUUUUUUUUUCUUUUUUUCUUCUUCCCAGGUUCAACUGAAGAGGCUGUUCUAAGAAAGACUACUGAGGUAAUCAGUCACCUUCCUCAGAGAAAGUCCGCUCAGGUAGUCUUGUUUACCAUGUAAACAAUGGAACAUUUAUUGUUGAACCCUUUAUUCUUUUACAGCCAGAUGGGAGAAUUUAGAUUUCUUGGUGGGAGGCAUGAGGGAGAAAGAGACCUGUGGCUUCUCUAUCCUUCAUAGUCCCCUCUGAGAUUAAAAAAGGUAAAGAGUGUCCUUUCAAUUCAGACGGCAAGUGUGUUUCCACUUAGCUUACCAGGCCGGAUGACGCACCAGGGUUUCCCAGCAUGCCCAGGGGCACUCAGGGGAUGAGUGCAGAGGGGACAGGGGAGCACUGAAGAAAUCCUUUUAAGUUUCCAAAAGCAGGAAUAUAGGACACUUAAUAAACUUUAAAUUACUUGCCCCUUUUGUGGGUAGCGGUGAUUAUUUUUCCUGAAGAGGAAUGAAAUAAUUAAUCUUUAGAGCUCACUUUUGUAAGAUCACAGCAAAAAACAGAAUCCCAAAUCUACUGCUUUCGGUGAAAAAAUGGUGAUCAUGAUCUCUAUGCUCAAUGACUCUAAAAUUGCUAUUUAUAGCAAAUAUUAUACGUUAAAAAAAAACUAGACUAAAAAAUGGAUCCCAAGUAUGGAUGUGGUAGAAAGAUCAGGGAGCUGGGGAGAGGGAGGGAUGAAUAGAUGGAACACAGAGGGUUUUUAGAGCAGUGAAGCUCUUCUGUUUGCUGCUGUAAUGGUGGGCACAUGCAUUACACAUUUGCCAAAACCUACACAAGGUACAACACCAAGAGUGAACCCUAAUGUAAAUUCUGGUCUAUAGUUAAUAAUAAUGUGUCAUUUUGGUUCAUCAAUGGAAACAAACAUACCACAGUAAUGCAGCAGGUUAGU